AUUUUGUAUUUUAAGUAGAGAUGGGGUUUCUCUAUGUUGGUCAAGCUGGUUUCGAACUCCCAACCUCAGGUGAUCCACCUGCCUCAGCCUCCCAUAGUGCUGGAAUUACAGGUGUGAGCCACUGAGCCCGGGGGAUUAGUGAUAUUCUUUAUGCACCCAUAGCCAACCCUCAUACCCCUUAUAGCUAACCUUAUUUCUCAUCUUCCUAUACUUAUACACAUACCUAACCCAUAGGUCUCUGCCUCCUUCACUUAGGUAGAUCUCUUUCUCUCAUGCAUCCAUCUCUAACUGCCCACAUCCUUCAAUUCCAAGGAGGCUCACCACAUUCUGCCUAUCAAUCUAUCUAUCUAUCUAUCUAUCUAUCUAUCUAUCUAUCUAUCUAUCCAUCUAUCUUUCUAUUACCUUUUUUCUUCUGUCCAUUGAUCUAUAUUCAUCAGAAAAUCCAUUCAUUAUUCUUUCUAUAAAAAUAUCUUUCACUCUAUUAUCUAUACUUCUGUCAAUUAACUUUCUAUUUAUUCAUCUAGUCAUCAUUCCUUCCAUUCAUUAAUGCUUUCAUCAUUCAUACAUCUAUCAAUCUCUCUAUCCACUCUCCAACUGUUAUUCACUCAGUUAUUUUUUUAUUUAUCCAGUUCCACCUCUGCUUCCUGUAAGAAACACUCUUUGAUCUCCCCCUAUCAUUCCUGCACUGAUUCCCUUUUCCUCCACCUGAGUCUGGACUUUUUUUUUUUCUUUCCCGAGGAUCCUGCAGAGAGGGAACCUUACUCUCUUGAUUGAGUCUUGAAGGUUGAGGAUGGCUUCCUGGACAGCAGAGUCUAGAGCUUUCAUAAUCUUUCCCCAUCACUGCCUAAGCACAGAGUUGAACACAGCAAGGGGAGGGAGGCAGAAGCCUGAGACUGAGAUCUUGGCAGGUGUAGCUCUGGCCAAUGGAGAACGAUGGAGGAUUCUCCGACGCUUCUCCCUGACCAUCCUUCGGGACUUCGGGAUGGGAAAGCAGAGCAUUAAGGAGCGAAUUCAGGAGGAGGCCAGCUACCUACUGGAGGAGUUCCAGAAGACCAAGUUCUGGAGACUGGGAGUCCAAGAUCAAGGAGCUGGUAGGUUCGGUGCCUGGUGAGGAUCAGGUUUCUGCUUUCAAGAUGGCUCCGUGCUGUUGGAUCCUCCAAGGGGAGGAUCACUGCGUUCUCACAUGGUGGAAGGUGGAAGACCAAGAGAGGUGAACUCCAUCCAUCAAGCCCUUUUGUAGGGGUACCUAAUCCCAUUCAUGAUGAUGGAACCCUCAUGACCCAAUCACCUGUCAUAGGCCACACCUCCCAAUACUGUUGCAUUGGGGAUUACAUUCCAACAUGGAUAAAAAACAUUCAAACCAUAGCAAUAUCUAUUUAGUACUUUUUCUGAACCACUUAGGGUAAAUUACAUACAACAUAGGUUUUACCUCUCAAUACUUUGGAGAGUAUCUCCUAAAAAUGGGGACAUUUUCUGAUAUAACUGCAGUUACAUUUAUCAGCUAUAGUAAAUUUAACGUUGAUGCAAUACUUUCAUCCCUGAGGUUUAUAUUCCAACUGUUGGUUUGAGAAGUAAUUUGACAACUUUGAAACGAAAUGGUAGUUUCUUUGUUGCCUGAGUGAUGCCACACUUAAGACUCACUCAUGGUUCAGCGUGGUGGCUUAUUCCUGUAAUCCCAGCACUUUGGGAGGCUGAGGCAAGAGGAUUGGUUGAGGUCAGGA
ensembl:lncRNA CYP2G1P cytochrome P450 family 2 subfamily G member 1, pseudogene